UGAAGUAAAUAUUUGCAUUAGAUGCUGAGAUGCAUCGGUACUGAAGAAUUUUCGUUGGCAUCUUUAAAGAGACUAAGAAUUCUAAAACUACAAAUUGUGCAGAAGAUUCCAAAAACAUUUAUUCUAACUGUAACAACUCAGUCCCAACAUCUCAAAUUGACAUUAAAUGUCCUGAUCUUCUUCUUUAUUAAAUAAUGUUCAGAAAGUUCUUAAGAUAGUUUCACUCAAAGAAUGAAAGAGAACAUGAAGUAGAAUGCAAAAACAGGUCAUAGAAAUUUUGUGUGUAUCCUUUUCGAGAAUAAAGCACCUUGUUGUCCACUUUCAUUUAUUUUCUUCCUCACGUGUAUCACCAUAGUAUCGUUUAAAUUGAUGUUACCAGAAGAAACUUCAGACACAACUCAUUUGAGAUGAUCGAAAGAAUCUGCUGUCUGUGAUAUAAGAAAGUUUUUCGUAAUACACUCACAUCCUAAGUAAAUUUCAAGUUUUCAACUGCAUUUUUACUGAAGAUUUUCGUAAAUUUUUUUGUAAGUUCUGUAAUGAAUUAGUUAUAGAUAUAACUUGUUUAAGUAUAUAUAUUUUUAAAAUGAUAGACAACGAUUUUAAAAUUCAAUUGUACACCAUAAAGUUUUUAAAAGGUUUUUUUAGGAAAGGUAAUUUUGUUUUACCCAUAGAUAACUUUAUGUAAUGCUUAGUAGUUAGUAUUUAAUUUAAUGAUUCUGUUUAUUUUUAAUCUCAUUUCUUAAGAUGCCAACACUUCGAAACCCGGAAAUGAUGUUAAAUGAAGCAUUUGAUGAUCGUAUAGCUAUAUUCCUAACUAAAUACCCUAGGAUUUCAGAACUUCCAGCAAGCAUCUACGGAUCCUUAUGAUGUUGCUGGAAUAACUGCUUAUGAAGUAUGGAAUAAUAUCUUCACAUAGGCCAAACAUAUUGAGUACAAAGAUUUUAUUUAGAGAAAAAUAAAUGGAAAACUAAAAGAUAUACAGAAUCACAAGGCUAACUAAUGACUUUCUUAAGUUAAGUAUUUGAUGCCCAUAUAUGGGACCAUCGGUAACUUCUUGACACCGGCAGAUUAUAAUCUUCACCUCUACUGUUUUCAGAAAGGCAAAAGGUCAAAAGUAGAAUUUUCAUUUUAUUAUAGCAACCUUUUGUUGGACUUCUGUUAAAUUCCUCUGUUUUCUGUUGUAUCAGGGUGAAAAUAAAUUUCAGUAGUUGCCUGCUAUAGGACCAGAUUCUAUGUUCCAGUCAGCAUUGUCCCAUAAGUGUAUAUGUAACUAACCUUAUGAUGAAGCUGAUGACAAUGAAGAUAUGGCCGGAACGCAUUCAACAAGGAAAAACAGAUACAGUACAAUGCGGUUCCGAUUGAAUCAAAUCUCAACACCAGUAAACCACAUUCAUCACCCGAACGCGUAAUUCGAUGACACAAAAAGAGAAGGCGAAAAUUUUCAAAUCAGCACUCAGAAAAUCAGAGAACAGCAUACCUUCAAGCGGGAAAUCACGGAAGGUAUUCGUCGUAAUGCCUCUCACAAACUCCCUCAACUCAUCCGUAACACCGAACCUCUCCAGAUCAGCAGGGUCAUAGGCGGCCUUCUGAGCGGAAUCGACGAGACCGUUCAGAACCACGGCGGCGGGAGGAAUGUGAGCCUUGAUCUCAUCGGCGCGCUUCAGAGCGUCUGCGGCGAGUUCCUGCGACAGCUUCGACGCCCCGGCCGCCAGCUCCUUGGAGCGCUUUGACGCCUCCGACACGACGCCGGAUAAACCGGCGGAGCCGAGUCCCUGCGUGAACUGCUGCGAUUUCUUGGCCGCCUCCUCCGCGAAUUCCCGAGCUCUCAGCCAGAAAUCCAUUGCGAAUUGGGAGAUUUUGCGAUGGAAUUGAAGAAGAGUUUGGCUAUGGAGAUGGCAUUACAAAUUUUUUGAUGCCAAAUUGUGAGUUGGCGUAAUUUAUGGAACUCUAUACAGCCUUAAUACGCAUCUUCUCUUCCCGGGAAAUUAAACUUUGAUUUUGCUCGUAUAAAUACAAUAGCUUCAUGCCCACCAAUUAUUUAUUGUUUAAAAUAUUUAUUUGUUUAUUGAAUUUUACCCGUUCCA